GGCAGUUCUCAGGUGACACACACCAGAAUUGGGCUCCCUCCUCUCUGGUUACGGGUGUAUCACCCAAGACUGCA
rfam:Myotis davidii contig44935, whole genome shotgun sequence.